AUGGCUCCGAGCAAGCCGUCCCUCCCCGCGCCCUCCGACGCCGGUGGCCGCGCUGCCAGCCGCGGGGAGGCCUCCUCGUCGUCGUCCCCGCCGCCGCCGCCGCAGCAGCAGAGGCGCGCGAUUCAGCCCAUGCCGCCGCCACCGCAGCAGCAACAGCAGCAGGGGCACGAGAUUCAGCCCGUGUGGAUGUGGGUGUGGCAGCCGACCCCGCCGCUUCCCUUCGAGUUCGGGGUACCGGCGACGUGGCCGAUCCCGCCGCUGCACCCGCAGUUUGGGUCGCAGCAGCACCCCUACUACUUGCCGCUGGGCCCAACGGUGUGGGGGCCGACCUCCGACACCAGCCAGUACCUGGACGCCAUGGUUGCGCAGCAGAUGUCCGCGGCGCCUACCUGGCCGCAGCAGCCCCAAUUCGUGGAGCAUCCGCCGUGGCACGGGCCACUGCCGCCGCAGCCAGUGCCACCGAUUUACUACCAAGACUGGAGGCUGGUGCAGAUCCGAUCGGAGUUGCUCAGUUCCCCGAUGACGCUUGAUCGGCUGGUGAUGUCCCUGGACGAGGAGCACUCGGCAAUCCUGCUCCACCAGCUCGAGGUGGGCGACGAGCAGAUGCGCGAGAUGGUGCUCGACAGGUUCAAGCAGUGCGCGCACUGGAUCAUGGGGAACAGGCAGGGGCAUGCGGUGUUCGAAGCGCUCCUGCGCAGCAUCCAGGUCAUCGUAGACGAGGACAGGCGGCGCGAGGAGCUCGAGAUCAUCGUGGAAGCCGCCGUCACGCCAGAGCUCGUCGGGAGGUCCAAGCACGGGGUGACUUCUCUGAGGCUGCUCAUCACGGCUGUGGCGUGGAACCCCGGCCUUUCCACCGCGCUCGUCAACUACUUCUUGCGUGAUCGCGUGAUGGACAACGUCGGAGGGAACGAGCUGAUUGCCCACUGUUUCCUCAGCAUGGAUUACGAGGCGACCAGGGCUCUGGUCAGGGACGCCAUGGACACCAUCGAUGACAAGCUGGACUCCCCGCUCGGCCGGUUGGCGUGCUUGCGUACAUGCUUCCGGUACGCGGGAGGCGAGGAGCUCCCUCUUUUCCAGGAUGCACUCGUUGAGCGAGCCGUACGAAUGGCCAUGGGACCAAACAGCAACCGCCUGGUGCAGCAGCUCCUCGACCGCGACGACAUGGACAGGAUUGAGUUCAGGCGGCGGCUCCUGUCCAGGCUCAUGCAGCACGUCGUUAGCCUGUCCAACCACUGGUACGGGAGGUUCGUCCUGCGGCGCUGCUUCAUGAGCGAGGACAAGGAACUGCAGCCCAUCGUGCUCACGGCUUGUGCUGACCUGCCCCAAGGAGACGUCCAAGCGCUGGUGCAGAUCCUGCCCCUCGACAAGGUGCUCCAGGGAGGCAAUGACUACCCGGUGACGGCGAGGAGGUUGGCGCUCAAGAUUCAAGCACUGCCUCCACAUAUCCGGGAACACGAUAAGUUGCAGCCGUUGAUGUCGGCCGUCACGAGGGUCCUCGCCGAUAACCUGGCCAACUUGGGCGACUAG
rnacentral:rRNA from 1 species